ACCGUCAAGUUCGUUUGCAAAUCUGUGAAGUCGAACCCAACAGUCGCCUUUCUGCGUGAAUCUCUCCAGUAUCCAGCCAGGUUCGUGUAUGUGGCUAUCUCAAUGAGUUAGGUUGAGUUCAUUAUUGUUUUUUUUUUUUUAUUCAACAAAACCAAUUCAUAUUUUGUCAAUUGAACAUCAACAUCAGAAGCAGCAACAGUCAUGGCAUAUUCAAUACAUUAGACAGGUAAUAGAUUACACGAUAUAAAACUAAACCUGGCUAGAUGUGGAAACUUACUUUUAUCACCAUUUUCAAUUUCGGGCUGCAGAAUUCAUGAAGAAAAUAACUAUUAGUUAGAAUAAUUUUCUAUAAGAUUAUGGAUCUUCCUGGUUUCUUUUUUCAAAAUUUGAUAUUUCAUCGUUUUGCCUUCUACUAUUCCUACAGCCUUAAAAGUCUUUAUUUAAGCUAACAUAAAGUAGAGUAGAGAAAAUAAUUUUAAUGUUUUCAGUAGAGGAGGUAUCGCAGAAGAGAUGGUGAGGGGCACAUACAGUCUUCAGACAUAGACAUUGAAAGAAAAGAAGAAUGUGCAAUAUGCAUGGAGAUGAAUAGUAAGAUUGUGUUGCCUCACUACUACCAUGUCAUGUGCCUGAAAUGUUACCAUGAAUGGUGUCUUCACCCCUUGAGUGGACGAGAAAGAAAUGAUUUUUUGAAACUUUGUUCCUAUCUUGGUGGGGUAUCUGCCCCCAAUCUCGAAUGUGUCACUAUGAGAAGCGGUUGGGCAGAGUCAAGCACUGCCCCAGUGGUGGGAGGGAAUCAGAUAAGUUCAAUUGCAUAUAAAUUUUUAACCAACUCAGCGGACAAAGACAUAACAAUGGAGGAGUUUGACCUUUUUUUUCUUCUUUGGUUCUUUUUUAGAGGAAGAGACACCUAUACAUGCCAAAAGAAAGGACUCUCAAGUCUAAGAACCUCUCCAAUGAUCACACAAGGGAGUGAUUUUUAACUUGAUUGCCUUUUGGGCUUCCCAUGCCCACUUCACAUAAGGUGUUUUUUGCUUUUAGUUCUUUGGAAAAUGAAAGAAACUGAAGGUAGGUGAAAUGCUGGAUGGAAUUGUAUAGGAGAGGAGACAUGUAGAUUACCUGACAGGCUCUUUAUCAGUAGGUUGUCAUUAACAGUGACCAAACGAACUUGGUUUCAAGUAUCAUUCUACUGAUCUUUCUUUGCCUAGUAGAUUCAAUUUGUUUGAAACUCUGCUGAUUGUAGUUUAUGAAAUCCAUUUUUUAUCCUUGAAUUGUACCAAAUAUUGGAUGAGAAGAAAGUGACUGGAAGAUGCACCCUAAAUUGAUUAUAUUGUAUUAUUCUUAUUUUUA